GUAAUUAUUAAGUUUUUCAGACGCUGAUUGAAUAUUAAAAAGGUUUUAGAGUUGUCCAGCCGACAGGCAAGCCUGCCGAGGAAACAUGAGUGCGCAAAAGACAAGGGUAGAUAAAAGAGACCAGCUGCUCAUCAGCGAUUAAGCUAUACAGACUGACAGCCUCCUUUACAGUAGUAAACUACCGAGUGUAAUGAUCCUUCCGCAGGUUCACCUACGGAAA
rnacentral:misc_RNA from 1 species